AUGGCUGGCAGGAGUCUUGGGCCAUCUGCUGCUGCUUGCCCAGGUGCAUUAGCAGGGAGCUGGAGGGGCAUGGAGCAGCCGGGACUCGGAACUGAUACUCUGAUAAGAGAUGCCGGCGGCCCAGGCAGCAGCUUAACCUGCUACGCCAGAACACUGGGCUCUGCCCUCUUGUUUUCAGGAACACCUGGAACUUACAAGUUCGACCCCGUGUUGGACCGCAGGUGCCAAAGAAGACACAUCACAGAGACCGACCAAGACUCUGCCUUGGCCUCGACUCUGGCAGGGCUACUCUGGGUCCUCGACUUCGCUAUACCUGACCUUGAACUUCCCUUUCUGGCCUCACAGAGUCCCGGGUGGGUGAGAAUCUUGCCGAGUCAGUAGCCCAGCGAGAAGGGAAACGACAGCUCAGCAUUGGUGCGACAGCGGCUCUGAUUCCAGGAUACCGAAGCUCUCACGAUCCCACUCCACCAGCGGCUGAGACCCGGUGCCCUCGGUGGAAGCACCUGUCCGGACCUCCGCCCAACUUCUCUUGCUCCUGUCUUCUGUCCUCCUGAGCUGGCUGCAGCACCUGGGGGCUCCCUCUGGCCGGCAGCCCCCGCUCUUGGGAGUGACUGCUCCCGGCAGGUGCAAUUCUGGGCGGCAACCACUGGGGUUUGGUGUGGGCCCCUCACCCUCCUUUCCGGUUUUUCCUUUCCUCCUCCGUGUUUCCCCCAGGGAUGGAGGUGGUGUGAGGGAGGGGCCUUAAAUAGGACAGGCAGGGGGUAAAUUGUGCCCCUGGAGGGCUCUGAAAAUUUUUAAUCAAAUUUUACAAUUUUAUUUUCACUUGUAUUUGAAAAGCGGAAAGACAGAGAGAGACACACACACAGAAUGACAGAUGGAGGAGAUCUCGCAUUUGCUGGUUUACUCCCUAAAUUCCUGCAACAGCCAAGGAGCUUGGAACUCCACUGGGCAGCAGUGGGCCACCAUCCCCCGUGGGCCACCAUCUGCUGCCUUUCCAGGCAGAUUGGCAGGAAGCUGGAUCUGAAGUGGACCAGCUCUGAUACCGGGUGUGAGCUCCCCAAGCAGU
rnacentral:lncRNA from 1 species